UAAAAUACGUGUGCACAAAAGGCAGUAGAACAUGGUGGUUUAGAGCACAGGACAAAGCCGGGCGCGGUGGCUCAUGCCUGUAAUCCCAGCACUUUGGGAGGCCGAGGUGGGCAGAUCACAAGGUCAGGAGAUCGAGACCAUCCUGGCUAACACGGCGAAACCCCGUCUCUACUAAAAAUACAAAAUAUUAGCUGGGCGUGGUGGCAGGCGCCUGUAGUCCCAGCUACUCGGGAGGCUGAGGCAGGAGAAUGGCAUGAACUCAGGAGGCGGAGCUUGCAGUGAGCCGAGAUGGAGCCACUGCACUCCAGCCUGGGCGACAGAGCACGACUUCAUCUCAAAAAAAAAAAAAAA
rnacentral:lncRNA from 10 species